AUACUUAUCUGGUAGGGGUGAUUUUUUUUAAUUACAAAGGUGGUUUCCCCAGAGCGAGGCUUAUCUAUUGCACAGGGGAUGGCCUGACUUCCGCGAUUUCCCCAACUGCGGGAAGCUCGACUGCACAAUUUAUGGUAGUGGGGCACUGCGUUCGCGCUCUCCUGUG